rnacentral:lncRNA from 1 species
UGCUUUAGGCUGAUCUUGAGGAAUUGAAAUCCAUUGUAGUCUUAGUUAAAACUGCACAUUAGAUACAAUAUGCAAUCGUAACCAUCCAUAUUUUUUUAAGUAAACGGCUAAGAUCUAUUGCUACAUUACACAGUAUCUUCUAUUUAUAAACAGUACCACUUAAAAUUUAGAUCCUUAAAUUUACGCAAUAGUGAUAGUGUGACUCCUUAUACUAGAGUCCCACUGAAACCGCACCGGGUUUUCAGCCCUAAGGCAUAUACAGUCCAAGCUACUCGAUGAAGGAGAUUUAACCAAAAAAAAAUGCCAUGUAGGACGAAGAUAUUUCCCCCAUAAUGCACAUGGUCCCACAAACUAUUUUUUAUUUCUUUUUCUCUCUCCGUCUCUCCAGAAAACUCCCCAUCUCCUCUCCCUCUCCCGGCUCCCGGCGGCAUGGCGACGGAGCUUGACGGCGCGGGUUGGCGGGUGUCUUUAUUUCUUUUCCUCUCUCCUGGCUCCCGGCUCCUGGCAUUGGCGGCGGCGCACGUCGGGGUGGCGCUCAGCGGCGGCGCGCAUCGGGGGGGUGGGGG